UACGUAGGGUGCGAGCGUUGUCCGGAAUUAUUGGGCGUAAAGGGCUCGUAGGCGGUUUGUCGCGUCGGGGAGUGAAAACCCAGGGCUUAACUCUGGGCUUGCUUUCGAUACGGGCAGACUAGAGGUAUGCAGGGGAGAACGGAAUUCCUGGUGUAGCGGUGAAAUGCGCAGAUAUCAGGAGGAACACCGGUGGCGAAGGCGGUUCUCUGGGCAGUAACUGACGCUGAGGAGCGAAAGCGUGGGGAGCGAACAGG
rnacentral:rRNA from 1 species